UACGAAGGGGGCUAGCGUUGCUCGGAAUCACUGGGCGUAAAGCGCACGUAGGCGGAUCUUUAAGUCAGGGGUGAAAUCCCAAGGCUCAACCUUGGAACUGCCUUUGAUACUGGGGAUCUCGAGUCCGGAAGAGGUGAGUGGAACUGCGAGUGUAGAGGUGAAAUUCGUAGAUAUUCGCAAGAACACCAGUGGCGAAGGCGGCCUUCUGGACCAAUACUGACGCUCAUGCACGAAAGCGUGGGGAGCAAACAGG
rnacentral:rRNA from 1 species